GGGAGACAGGACAACACGGAGGCAAAAUAAACAUAGAAAAACACAGAUCAUGACAAUUUUGUAUUUAUGAAAAUGUUUUAGAUCCAAGAGUUCAGCUGAUGAAGAAUGGAGAAUGAAGAAAGUGUUACAUUUAUUUUAUGUUCAGAUUUGAGAAAAAGAACUAUCUGAUCAGCAGAAACAUAUCAGAAUACAAAAUGAUUUCCACUGUCAGGUGAAUUCAAGAAGCCAUGCUUACAGAACUGAAAUUUUGAGGAAGAUGUCACAGCAUUUCUGGGUCACGUUUCCUCUGUCGUCACAAUCGUUCUUAAAACAGGAACAGUAACUCUUCAACAAUUCAUUUGCUAGAAAUCCCUGGAAUAAGAAGCACCAAUGUGAUCCACUUUAGCAACAUUUUUCACUUCUUUUAGAAGUUAAUUGUGAAAAACUCACUGCAGUCCAGGAUGAAGAGACCUGUUGAGAAUACAGCAGCUGAUCAUCUAUUCUGCCAACAGGAUCCAGUAAAACCAGUAAAACCAGUUCCUCCUCAGCAUCUGGUCCACUGCCCAGCUGCUGCAGCCUCGUCUCCUCUCUGGUGAACGGCACCUCUCCUCUCCACCAGGGGGCGCCAUGCUCCAGUAGGCGGCGCUCUCCUGGUGCUCUGUGUUCCAGCAUUGUGUCAAUAAGAAGUGGUGCUGUGAAGAGAACAACAGUCAGACUGAAUGUUGAACAUCAGCUGCUUUCUCCUGCUGAUUUAAACCUUGUUGGACAGAUGGAACAUUGGCUGUGGAUUAUUCUGGCUGCUCUUUUCUCUGAAUGUAAAGGAGACUCAGUGAAGCAGACAGAAGGAGAACUUGUUGCUGCUGCAGGACAAUCACUGACUCUGGGAUGCACUUAUGAGAGCAGUGUGAGUGUCACAUUGUUCUGGUACAAGCAAGAAGAAAACAGCUACCCAAAGUACAUGCUGAAGCAGCUGUCAUCAUCAAAAUAUAAAGCUCAAGAUUUUGACAAUGACAGAUUUGAUGCUGACUUCAAUAAAGACGAGAAAUCCUUCAACCUGAAGAUCCAGGAUCUCCGUCCGUCAGACUCUGCUGUGUACUACUGCGCUCUGCAGCCCACAGUGACAGGAAACACCAGAACCCUGUACUAAAACCUGCAGUACUCCACAGCAGCCACUAGAGGGCCUCACAUCAUUGUCUAGUUCUUUAAAUUCCUAGGAUUGAGUCUGGUUCUGGUUCUGUGUCAGUUUCUGGCUGGUUUCCUUUAGCAGUGUUUCCUUUGUGCUGAUUGGUCCGUGUCUUCAUGUCCACCUGUUUCUAAGCAUUCAGACCUGAGACUGUUGAGUUUCAGCAGCUGCUCUGUUCAUCAGACGCUCCUCCAGGAAGCAGCAGCUCUUGGUUCAUCACGAUCCUCUGAUUCUCCAGUAGUUUGCUUUCCCAGCGGCUACAGCUAAAGCAGUCAGAACAAAACAUUUGCUGUUUCACUCAACAUAUUUACUAUUCUAACUUGGUCCUUGGUAGUUUUCUACCAUAGAUUGAACACUGUUUAUAAUUCUACAAUCUUAGUAGAUCUUUAUGUUUAAUAAUUUUAGGCAUGAAGAAAAACUAAAACCGAUUCACUCAUGUAGUAAAUCUGGAUGGUAGAAGGAGAAAAACCUCAAACCCAGAUCUGCAGAACCCUGAACCUCUAACUGACCUGAUCACACACUGACCAGAACCAGAACCAGAACAUACUGGAACAUGUCGGCUGGUUUGUGGGUCGUUCAGCAGGUUGGAUCAUAAUUUGGUGAACCUUCAGAAACUCAGCUGCAUUGUGAACAGUAACUCAGCCUGGUGGUGGCAGCAGCAUGAUGUGGGACUGUUGUCAUCGUUUCACCCUCG